AGGGUUUGAUCCUGGCUCAGGAUGAACGCUAGCGGCAGGCUUAACACAUGCAAGUCGAGGGGUAGAAGCAGCUUGCUGCUUUGAGACCGGCGCACGGGUGCGUAACGCGUAUACAAUCUACCUUUUACAGAGGGAUAGCCCAGAGAAAUUUGGAUUAAUACCUCAUAGUAUUUUCGAAUCGCAUGGUUUGAUUAUUAAAGUUCCAACGGUAAAAGAUGAGUAUGCGUCCCAUUAGCUAGAUGGUAAGGUAACGGCUUACCAUGGCAACGAUGGGUAGGGGUCCUGAGAGGGAGAUCCCCCACACUGGUACUGAGACACGGACCAGACUCCUACGGGAGGCAGCAGUGAGGAAUAUUGGACAAUGGGCGCAAGCCUGAUCCAGCCAUGCCGCGUGCAGGAAGACGGUCCUAUGGAUUGUAAACUGCUUUUAUACAGGAAGAAACACACCCUCGUGAGGGUACUUGACGGUACUGUAUGAAUAAGCAUCGGCUAACUCCGUGCCAGCUGCCGCGGUAAUACGGAGGAUGCAAGCGUUAUCCGGAAUCCUUGGGUUUAAAGGGUCC
rnacentral:rRNA from 1 species